AGACCACGCCCACCGAUGCCGGCAGCAGCUGGUGCAGCGGAGCUCAGAUCCUCUCUGUGGGGUCUGCACCGGCAAGGGCAGCUGCUCCCUGCCUUUCCUCAGGAGUCAGUGGAGCUCCCCUUUACCUUCUGCUAUUGAGUGGAAGCAGCCUGAGGCCCUCAAAAGAUGCAGAUGCCGGCACCGUGUUUCUUGCACAGCCUGCAGAAUCAUAAGGCAAGUAAACCACUUUUCUUUAUAAAUUACCCAGCCUCAGGUAUUUCUUGAUAGCAAGAUAAAGAUGUAUGAUUUUUACCUUUUAAGUGGUUUAAGAAUUUUUCAUGUUUUUGGCUGGGCGCGGUGUCUCACGCCUGUAAUCCCAGCACUUUGGGAGGCCAAGGCAGGCGGAUCACGAGGUCAGGAGAUUGAGAACAUCCUGACUAACACGGUGAAACCCCGUCUCUACUAAAAAUACAAAAAAUUAGCCGGGUGCGGUGGCGGGUGCCUGUAGUCCUAGCUAUUCGGGAGGCUGAGGCAGGAGGAUGGCGUGAACCCAGGAGGUGGAGCUUGCAGUGAGCCGAGAUUGAGCCACUGCACUCCAGCCUGGGAAACAGAGAGAGACUCUGUCUCAAAAAAAAAAAAAAAAGAAGAAUUUUUAAUGUUUUUAAUAGCUUCUAUCAGAUAAUAGUUUCUUGAAAAUAACAAUUUAUGUGAUUAUCUAUGCACAUGUAUAUGUAUAUGUGCAAGUAUGCUUACGUAUACUGAAAAUAAAUUACAGUAAGAAUCCUAGGCACUGGAGAAGAAAGUAGGAUUAUUUUGUUAUUGUAAGGUACUCAAACUACCUGCAAAGGAUAUCGUAUAAUUUGAAAAGGGGCUUGGAUUAGUUUUAAAUGUAGUACUGCAAACUUCAGGACAGCUUAUUAUGCAAAAGCACCAAUCUCUUCCUAGCUGUUGACCAGAGGCUGCACUCAAUUCCUUGCCAAAUGGCCUUCUCUCCUAUGGCAAAAUGCUUCAUAAAAGCCACCAAGUGAGUGAGGUUCCUAGCAAGACAGAAAUCAUAACGCAGUAUAAUUACCUAAGUGAUAUCUCAUCAUUUUUGCAAAAUUAUAUUUUUUCCAAGUGAAUAAAAGUUCUUAUUCUUACUCAGCAAAAACACAACAGAAUUCAAGGUUAUGUAGAUGAAGAGAUGGGGAUCACUGGUAGCCAUCUGCCUGCCACAUCAAGUCCUCUUGAGUCUGCAACAGUUUCUCAGUCUUCAGUUGUGUAUCAUGACCUUGACCCUUUUGAAAAUAGUGGUCAGAAAUUUUGUAGAAUGUCCCACAAUAUGGAUUUGUGGGAUUUUAUUCAUGUUUAGACUAGGAGUAUUGUUUAAAUUGAACACUUGCUUUUAUCUAAAUUUGAAGACAAGAAAAAAUGAACAAUAUAUACAGUUUAGAAAUACAAACAUAGAAAGAAAGAUAGUAAAUAAAAUGUAGAGAAUGACAAAGAAAGAGUUCACCAUAAUAGUUCAUUGUAACAGCUAAGGAAGAUGAUGACAUUAGAGAGAUGCCUGCCCCCAGGGGGCAUCA
rnacentral:lncRNA from 1 species